ensembl:lncRNA
AGUUAACAGUUGUGGAAUCACUUGAAUAUGUAUUAAAUAUCUUUUUGGAAAAGAAAAGCGGACUAAAAUAACUCUUGAAGAAUGUGCUGAAGAAUGUAGCGGAUGAGUAUUUAAACGAGGAAACUGUGACGUCGUUAUCAAGAAUCUGAGCUUCAGUGACGCUGGGAAAUACUUUAUGAGAGUCUAUUACCUCAAUCAUCAGACAGAGCUGGAGCAACAAAUCAGGACGUACCAACUUCAUAUUCAGGAUAAAUUCAAAAAACAUGUGUUUAGUCUAGUUUUCCUUUAGUAACAGUGAGGUGUUGAAUGUAACCAGCAGAGACUCUGAAUGGAACAGGCUUAAUAUUCAGAUUAGUGUGUUUAUGGCCUUGACUGAUUGACAGUAUUAUAAUAAUGAUUAAUGACUUUGUUUCUCCUCAGAUGAUGUUUCUGUGAAAACAGGUGAGGAGCUGGAGUUGGAUGUUCUGUUGUCAAACGCUGAUGAAGUGCAGCAUCAGAGCAGAAGAAGCACAGAGUGGAAGAAGAUCUGGAGAAGAACUGAUGGAGUUCAGAGAGAAUGGAUCUCCAUCAGAGAUAGAAACCUGAUCAUUAGUAAUUUCACAGCCAGAGACACAGGAACAUACAGAGUUCUGGACCCUGAAGGAAACAUCUUGAUCACAGUGACACUCAAAGAGUCAAAGACAAAACUGGACAGCACAGAUAAAGACAAAACUGAUGAUAUGGAGCAAGUUCCUGUGAUCUAUUGGAUUAUGAGUGCUGGACUGUUUGUGUAUGCAUCUCUGCUGGUUUCUACUCUGGUUACGCUUCGUGGCUAAAUCAGUUUGCAAGCUAUUUCAUGCACUGCUAUAGUAUCGUGGAAAUAUGGUUUCUUUAUUUAUUGUUUUCUUAUGGCACUACAUUGAUGAGCAGGAAUAGCUUAAUGUAGCACUUUAUUUCAAAAAGUAUUUAUAAAAAAUAUUUCUAUUGUACAUUUUUUUUUAGUUGUUUUAUAUGAAGUCCAGGGUUUUGAAAUUGUUAAUACUGUAUAUGGUGCUGACUAAUAGCAAUGAGAAGUGUUGUUUAACAUGUUUAAAUAUGAUAUAUUUAAAAAGACACCAUGAAUUGUCUUCAUCAUUAUAAUCUACUAUUAAAGAGUCUCUGAAAAGAGUCUUUCUAGUGCUUAAUCAGGGAUUUGCAUUAUUCUUUGAAAAUCUUCUUUUACAGAGCAUGUACUGUGAAAAAACGAAACAAACUGAACCACUUUUGUUAAAAAAAAAAACACCUUUUUGUUGAUAUUUUUAUGUUAGUGCACUUUUGUAGGUGUAAGAUUUGCAGGUCCACAUAAGAAAUGUACUUGUCUAACUAUAUCUUUACACAUCAUAUAUUUACAUAAGAAUUAUUAUAAGCUACAUAAGAAAAUAUAAAUGCCAUCAGUUUUGGGCACAUAAAGGUUGAUUAAAUAAAAUGUUUUGAAUGUUAAAUGUGUUGUUGAGA